rnacentral:rRNA from 1 species
CCUACGGGCGGCAGCAGUGGGGAAUAUUGGACAAUGGGGGGAACCCUGAUCCAGCCAUGCCGCGUGUGUGAAGAAGGCCCUCGGGUUGUAAAGCACUUUCAGUGAGGAAGAACGCCUGGUGGUUAAUACCCAUCAGGAAAGACAUCACUCACAGAAGAAGCACCGGCUAACUCCGUGCCAGCAGCCGCGGUAAUACGGAGGGUGCGAGCGUUAAUCGGAAUUACUGGGCGUAAAGCGCGCGUAGGUGGCUUGAUAAGCCGGUUGUGAAAGCCCCGGGCUCAACCUGGGAACGGCAUCCGGAACUGUCAAGCUAGAGUGCAGGAGAGGAAGGUAGAAUUCCCGGUGUAGCGGUGAAAUGCGUAGAGAUCGGGAGGAAUACCAGUGGCGAAGGCGGCCUUCUGGACUGAAACUGACACUGAGGUGCGAAAGCGUGGGUAGCAAACAGGAUUAGAUACCCUAGUAGUC